UUCCAUAGUUUGGUUGACUAA
ensembl:piRNA 21ur-4293 ncRNA